UUGCACGCUGGCGGCAUGCUUUACCCAUGCAAGUCGCACGGCAGCGCGGGCUUCGGCCUGGCGGCGAGUGGCGAACGGGUGAGUAAUGCAUCGGAACGUGCCCAGUAGUGGGGGAUAGCCCGGCGAAAGCCGGAUUAAUACCGCAUACGACCUGAGGGUGAAAGCGGGGGACCGAAAGGCCUCGCGCUAUUGGAGCGGCCGAUGUCGGAUUAGCUAGUUGGUGGGGUAAAGGCUUACCAAGGCGACGAUCCGUAGCUGGUCUGAGAGGACGACCAGCCACACUGGGACUGAGACACGGCCCAGACUCCUACGGGAGGCAGCAGUGGGGAAUUUUGGACAAUGGGGGAAACCCUGAUCCAGCCAUGCCGCGUGCGGGAAGAAGGCCUUCGGGUUGUAAACCGCUUUUGUUCGGGAAGAAAUCCUCUGGGCUAAUACCCCGGGGGGAGGACGGUACCGGAAGAAUAAGCACCGGCUAACUACGU
rnacentral:rRNA from 1 species